rnacentral:lncRNA from 1 species
AGACCCGCGCAACCAGGCGGGGAGGGGAGGUGGGCGCGCGAUUGGGUUGCGAUCUGGAGCAGUGGGGACAGGUCAGGUAAUUCUGCCGGCGGUCAGGGAUGGGAGAGUGGGGAGGACGGGACCAGCCUAGCUCAGAAUGGGUGUUUCUUGGAGCCUCUGGGACUGUUUUCUUUCCAGGAACCGGCGCGUAUUUCUGCAGUGAGACCACAGGACGGACAUCGGCGCCUUCGGCUUCGAUGGAGUUGCGAUUUUGCUCUUUCCAGGGAAACAGUGGCAGGGUGUUUGCUGCUUAUCGGUUCCUGCGGAUAUGCCUGGGUCCCAGGACAUUCCACUGGAGGCUUGGACUGCAUUUAGGAGCCCCUAUCCCUUCCCUGUCCACACUGUUAGUGAGCAAUUUCAUAUGUUUGCAUUUAGACCCAUAGACUCAGAACGACUCAUCACACACACACACAGUGUACACUGACACACUCACAUUCGCACACUUAGGUAUACAGCCUGAUCCUUGCUCUGACCUGGUAACAACGCUUCCUCCUCCAGAGACUUUGAGAUAGAGCGAGCGAUCCCUGUGCACCAUUCAUCCAUGCUCCCACCUCGCCAGUAUGGCUGGCUUAGUUCUGGAAGGGGCUUAAGAGGAACAAGCCCCAGCUGUGCUUCUGGCUGGGACUUAAACCCCCCUUCUGGGCCCUAAAGCCACGCUUCUUUGUGGACCGGACCUGACUCUCCAGGAAUCUGGGAACCCGCUAUUUCACUCUAUUUUGGGACAAGAAAAAGGGGCUCUUUGGGGCCACUUCCUGCCUUCCCCUCAAGUAGGAUCUCCAGCCUGCAGAGGGUGCCUAGUCCUUCUUUGCCCAAGAACCAGUCCAAGAAGCCUUUCCUCUGUGCCUGGGAAAUGCAACCUUUUCUUGGGAGCAUGGUAGGGUGUUGGUGCUGAAGAACCAAGCAGCGACCCGUCUUGUAGCUGCCAUGUUUUGUCGAGGGGUUCUGGGGGUCCUGCUGCUUUAGAGCCACAUACUUCCACUUCCUGAUUCACUACUGUGAGCUGGUCAGAUGCCUAGAAGAGGAACAAGCGUUCAAAGUGAAAGUGGGCACAUUACCGGAAUAGUGCUGGGGAGAGUGCUGGAUUCUUUUCCACCCCAGGCGGACUGGUGAGAAGCCAGGCUUGGACCUGUCCUCUGCUCCUAGCUUGCACACUCAGCCCUAAACUCAGAGCAGCACGCAUACCACCCCUCACACACACCCCACCAUCUGCUGUCUAAGGCCCCUGGGCUUCCUGCAGGAUCCAGACCAAUGUGGCUGGGCUUGGGCUUUUAUCUGUCCUGAUCCUGGAUUUGUCCUGACCAAUCCCCGAACCCUGCGCGCAGAGAAAGGGUCUCAGCUCCACAGACGACUGGGUCCCUCCUCACCAAAAAUGGUGAGACAAGAUUUCAUCUGUCGGCCGAGGAGCCACAAGCAGGUACCACAAAGCCACUAGUGCACAGGGACUCAGAAAAGACGGCAGGAGCCCAAGGAAAACUCCAAUUUGAGUACAGCCCUGCCUUGUUUCCCCCAGAGAGUCCCUGAGCAAGGAGACCUCCACCCCACACACACCAUUUCAGAACAACCAGGUUCCAGACUCCCAUGAGGAGCAUCUCCCACUG